AACCGUGGUAAUUCUAUGGCUAAUACAUGCGCAAAUACUAUAUCACUCGGGGGUAUAGUAGUGUUUAUUAGAUACAGAACCAAUACACCUUUUUUAAAGGGUGUAGAAAAAGGUGAUUCAUAGUAACCGAACGGAUCGCAUUAUAAUCAUUUCGAUGAUUGGCGAUAGAUCAUUCAAGUUUCUGACCUAUCAGCUUUCGACGGUAGUGUAUUGGACUACCGUGGCAGUGACGGGUAACGGGGAAUUAGGGUUCGAUUCCGGAGAGGGAGCCUGAGAAACGGCUACCACAUCUAAGGAAGGCAGCAGGCGCGCAAAUUACCCAAUCCUGACUCAGGGAGGUAGUGACAAGAAAUAACAACACUGGAAAUUCUAUUUCUAGUGAUUGGAAUGAUGGGAAUCCAAACCCCUUUCAGAGUAACAAUUGGAGGGCAAGUCUGGUGCCAGCAGCCGCGGUAAUUCCAGCUCCAAUAGCGUAUAUUAAAGUUGUUGCAGUUAAAAAGCUCGUAGUGGAUAUCUGCUGGAAGCAAUCAGUCCGCCCUUUUAGUGAGGGUGUGUACUUGAUGAAUUCUGGCA
rnacentral:rRNA from 1 species